rnacentral:lncRNA from 1 species
CUUGUGGUGUCCCUAUGGGGUCCCUGUCCCUAUGGGAUCCACGACUCUAUGGGUUCCCUAUGGUGUCCCUGUGGGUCCCUCUGGUGUCCCUGUCCCUAUGAUGCCCCGUCCCUGUGGGGUCCCCGUCCCUCUGGGUCCCCCUGGUGUCCCUCCGGCUCCCCCGUCCCUGUGGUCCCCGGCCGCCCCCAACCCCCGCCGUCCCGCAGCGCUCGUCGCGGCGCUCGCUGUUCGUGGCGGCGGCGGCGCGGCACCAGCAGUUGUACCGCCUGGCCAUGACGGGCGCCGGCAUCGACCGCCACCUCUUCUGCCUCUACGUGGCGUCGCGGUACCUCGGCGUGCGGUCCGCCUUCCUCGAUCACGUGAGCGGCGGGGGGGGCGGGGGGGCGAUGGGGGGUGAUGGGGGUGGGGGGGGAUGG